AAAGAGAUCAGAAUACGUGAAGAGGGAUUGAACUGCCUUGAACGUUGAGAGAGGGUUUCAUUUUAGAGAUAAAAUGAAACCCUCAUGAAAGCUUUUUAUCUCUAAAUGAAAGCUUUUUAUCUCUAAAAUGAAACCCAUUCAUGAAAGCUUUUUAUCUCUAAAAUGAAACCCUCUCUCAACGUUCAAGGCAGUUCAAUCCCUCUUCACGUAUUCUGAUCUCUUUUU
rnacentral:miRNA from 1 species